rnacentral:SRP_RNA from 1 species
GGCAGGAGACUCGCUUGAGCCCAGGAGUUGGAGGUUGCUGUGAGCUGUAAUGCCAUGGCACUCUACCCAGGGGGACAGCUUGAGGCUUUGUCUCAAAAAAAAAGAUGAAGUCUUCUCAGUCUGACCGAUAAACCAUAUAUAUAUAUAUAUUUUUUGAGACGGAGCCUCAAGCUAUCCCCCUGGGUAGAGUGCCAUGGCAUCACGCUCACAGCAACCUCCAACUCCUGGGCUCAAGCGAGUCUCCUGCCUCAGCCUCCCAAGUAGCUGGGACUACAGGCGCCCGCCACAACGCCUGGC